rnacentral:rRNA from 1 species
CAGUAGCCGCGGUAAUACGAAGGGGGCUAGCGUUGCUCGGAAUGACUGGGCGUAAAGGGCGCGUAGGCGGAUGGCACAGUCAGAUGUGAAAUUCCCGGGCUUAACCUGGGGGCUGCAUUUGAUACGUGUUGUCUAGAGUGAGGAAGAGGGUUGUGGAAUUCCCAGUGUAGAGGUGAAAUUCGUAGAUAUUGGGAAGAACACCGGUGGCGAAGGCGGCAACCUGGUCCUUGACUGACGCUGAGGCGCGAAAGCGUGGGGAGCAAACAGGAUUAGAUACCCGUGUAGUCCCUGUCUCUUAUAC